rnacentral:rRNA from 1 species
AACGCUAGCUACAGGCUUAACACAUGCAAGUCGAGGGGAAACGAUAUUGGAAGCUUGCUUCCGAUAGGCGUCGACCGGCGCACGGGUGAGUAACGCGUAUCCAACCUGCCCACCACUUGGGGAUAACCUUGCGAAAGUAAGACUAAUACCCAAUGAUAUCUCUAGAAGACAUCUGAAAGGGAUUAAAGAUUUAUCGGUGAUGGAUGGGGAUGCGUCUGAUUAGCUUGUUGGCGGGGUAACGGCCCACCAAGGCGACGAUCAGUAGGGGUUCUGAGAGGAAGGUCCCCCACAUUGGAACUGAGACACGGUCCAAACUCCUACGGGAGGCAGCAGUGAGGAAUAUUGGUCAAUGGGCGAGAGCCUGAACCAGCCAAGUAGCGUGCAGGAUGACGGCCCUAUGGGUUGUAAACUGCUUUUAUAAGGGAAUAAAGUGAGCCUCGUGAGGCUUUUUGCAUGUACCUUAUGAAUAAGGACCGGCUAAUUCCGUGCCAGCAGCCGCGGUAAUACGGAAGGUCCGGGCGUUAUCCGGAUUUAUUGGGUUUAAAGGGAGCGUAGGCCGGAGAUUAAGCGUGUUGUGAAAUGUAGAUGCUCAACAUCUGCACUGCAGCGCGAACUGGUUUCCUUGAGUACGCACAAAGUGGGCGGAAUUCGUGGUGUAGCGGUGAAAUGCUUAGAUAUCACGAAGAACUCCGAUUG